GAAAAUCAAACAAGUUCUAGAAAAAAUGUCUAAGGAUAAGACACCGAAUGGAAGAAGUCUAAUGAUCUAAAAGGAUCGCAACAGCUUGGGCAAAGAACAAACUCCUCUAAAUAUGCGUAACAGCAAAAUGAGAUUGAGUUUUGAGCUGAAAUAUUGAAAUCCUUUGCAGGUCUCUCAUUAAUGAUUAAGCGCUCAGUGAUAUCUGUUAUUGAAAUAUUGAAACGGCUGGAAACAUGCUAAUGUUAACUGUGUGAUGUUAACAGUCAUUUUGUCUGUAUUGUUGUUCAUUUCACAUUUUAUCAUUUCAAUGUUCUGUAAUUAUUUGUCAAAGACUCUGUAAGUUCAUGUAAUCUUUGAACAGAUGUUUUUAUCCAAAACAACAACAGAAAAACA